UUAGCCAAGAAUGGCUUGCCUAUCUCCACUAUUUGGUUCAUCACAGGAACCAACAUGGGUCCUAAUGGUGGAUGAAAUUUGGCAGAUGGUGAGCCUUCAUGGCUAAGA
rnacentral:pre_miRNA from 1 species